GAUGAACGCUGGCGGCGUGCCUAAUACAUGCAAGUCGAGCGAGCGGACGCGAAGCUUUCUUCUCUGAUGUUAGCGGCGGACGUGUGUGUAACCCGUGGAUAACCUACCUAUAAGACUUGUAUAACUUCGGGAAACCGGAGCUAAUACCGGAUAAUUUUUUGUACCGCUUUGUUCAUAUGUGUAUGACGGUCUUGCUGUCCCUUAUAGAUUGAUCCGCGCUGCAUUAGCUAGUUGGUAAGGUAACGGCUUACCAAGGCAACGAUGCAUAGCCGACCUGAGAGGGGGAUCGGCAACAAUGGAACGGAGAAACGGAACAGAGUCCGACGGGAGGCAGCAGUAGGGAAGAUUCCGCAAUGGGCGAAAGCCGGACGGAGCAACGACGAGGGAGUGAUGAAGGACUUAGGAUCGUAAAACUCUGUUAUUAGGGAAGAACAUAUGGGUAAGUAACUGUGCACAGCUUGACGGUACCUAAACAGAAAGCAACGGCUAACUACGUG
rnacentral:rRNA from 1 species